CUGGCUAUAAAUUAGACUUGGGCAUUGGGCCGUGCCUGUCCUGGCCCGACCAGACCCAUCGGGCCAAGUACUGUAGUGGGCCAUGCCAGGCAUGGCCCAUCUGGUAAAUGGGCCGUGCCGGCACGACACGAAAGGCCUAAACCCUCCACCUAGCACGGCCCGUCUGACCCAGCCUACCUUUUUUUCAAUCCAAAUGGGCCGUGCCAGGCACAGCCCACCAUUAUAGGCCUUGCUUGGCACAGCCCGUAAUGGCUCCAAACGGGUCAUAUCAG
rnacentral:lncRNA from 1 species